rnacentral:rRNA from 1 species
AGCCUGAUGCAGCGACGCCGCGUGAGGGAUGACGGCCUUCGGGUUGUAAACCUCUUUCAGCGGGGACGAAGGGCAACUGACGGUACCCGCAGAAGAAGCACCGGCUAACUACGUGCCAGCAGCCGCGGUAAUACGUAGGGUGCGAGCGUUGUCCGGAAUUAUUGGGCGUAAAGAGCUCGUAGGCGGUUUGUUGCGUCGGCUGUGAAAACUUCACGCUUAACGUGGAGCCUGCAGUCGAUACGGGCAGACUUGAGUUCGGCAGGGGAGACUGGAAUUCCUGGUGUAGCGGUGAAAUGCGCAGAUAUCAGGAGGAACACCGGUGGCGAAGGCGGGUCUCUGGGCCGAUACUGACGCUGAGGAGCGAAAGCGUGGGGAGCGAACAGGAUUAGAUACCCUGGUAGUCCACGCCGUAAACGGUGGGUGCUAGGUGUGGGGGACUUCCACGUCCUCCGUGCCGCAGCUAACGCAUUAAGCACCCCGCCUGGGGAGUACGGCCGCAAGGCUAAAACUCAA